AUUGAACGCUGGCGGCAGGCCUAACACAUGCAAGUCGAGCGGAGCGGCGGACGGGUGAGUAAUGCCUAGGAAUCUGCCUGGUCGUGGGGGAUAACGUCCGGAAACGGGCGCUAAUACCGCAUACUAUCAGAUGAGCCUAGGUCGGAUUAGCUAGUUGGUGGGGUAAAGGCCUACCAAGGCGACGAUCCGUAACUGGUCUGAGAGGAUGAUCAGUCAAACUGGAACGGAGACACGGUCCAGACGCCUACGGGAGGCAGCAGUGGGGAAUAGUGGACAAUGGGCGAAAGCCUGAUCCAGCCAGGCCACGUGUGGGAAGAGGGUCUUCGGAUUGUAAAGCCCGUUAAGUUGGGAGGCGUUACCAACAGAAUAAGCACCGGCUAACUUCGUGCCAGCAGCCGCGGUAAUAC
rnacentral:rRNA from 1 species